CAGUAGCCACGGGAACACGAAGGGUGCAAGCGUUAAUCGGAAUUACUGGGCGUAACGCGUGCGUAGGCGGUUUGUUAAGUCUGUUGUGAAAUCCCCGGGCUCAACCUGGGAAUGGCAAUGGAUACUGGCAAGCUAGAGUGUGUCAGAGGAUGGUGGAAUUCCCGGUGUAGCGGUGAAAUGCGUAGAUAUGUGGAGGAACACCGAUGGCGAAGGCAGCCCCCCGGGAUAACACUGACGCUCAUGCACGAAAGCGUGGGGAGCAAACAGGAUUAGAGACCCCGGUAGUCCCUGUCUCUUAUAC
rnacentral:rRNA from 1 species